UACGUAGGGUGCGAGCGUUGUCCGGAAUUACUGGGCGUAAAGAGCUCGUAGGUGGUUUGUCGCGUUGUUCGUGAAAACCGGGGGCUUAACCCUCGGCGUGCGGGCGAUACGGGCAGACUGGAGUACUGCAGGGGAGACUGGAAUUCCUGGUGUAGCGGUGGAAUGCGCAGAUAUCAGGAGGAACACCGGUGGCGAAGGCGGCAUCCUGGACCGACAUUGACGCUGAGGAGCGAAAGCUAGGGGAGCAAACGGG
rnacentral:rRNA from 1 species